rnacentral:lncRNA from 13 species
UACUCACUGUCUAGACUCAAUAUCAACCUCUACUCACUGUCCUCAGACUCAAUAUCAACCUCUACUCACUGUCCUCAGACUCAAUAUCAACCUCUACUCACUGUCUAGACUCAAUAUCAACCUCUACUCACUGUCUAGACUCAAUAUCAACCUCUACUCACUGUCUAGACUCAAUAUCAACCUCUACUCACUGUCCGCAGACACAAUAUCAACCUCUACUCACUGUCCGCAGACACAAUAUCAACCUUUACUCACUGUCCGCAGACACAAUAUCAACCUCUACUCACUGUCCGCAGACUCACUAUUAAAUAAUAUUUUAUCACCUGCUGACUGCUCUAUCAAGAACUAACUUAUCAGGCGUUGUAAGGGGCUUAAAUAAUGUGUCUUUGCAUUUUACAGAUUGUUUUGACCUGGCACCACCCCAGCAACAAGACCAUUAUUUGAGGAAUGCAGUGGGGGAUCCUAUGAGAGGUUCCCUGUUGGAGUCUGACAGUGCCUUCAUUGAUCCCAUGAGGGAAACCUUUCCAGUGCCCCCCACACCUGAGCAGAAGCCCCAGCUCUCAGCCAGGGAGAGGAGGCGGCUGGCCAAGAGGGCAGACCUGCACAAUGAGCGGGUGUGCUCCAGACAGCCUGUGGACCUGCCAGAGAACUACUCCCACCAGUCAGAGACCAGUCUCAACACUGAGCAGCAUGGCAGAGGGCAUAACCACCAUAGGACCAAGAGGCUGCCGGCUAUGAGCCGCAGAACAGACCUGUCUAGCGAUGAAGAUGCGUCUCCGCAGGUUUCCCCUCGUGCCCCAGAACCCCGGGGCUCAGUGGAUAUGGUUGCCAUGGAGCCCUGGAUCAGACCAGGCACCUCAGAGACUCUGAAGCGCUUAAUGACCGGUCAGACCCCCCAAGGGGAGAGGCUGACCAGCAGAGAGUCUGCCGUCCAGGACUGGGAAAGCCCCUCUACCCAUCAUAGCUAA